rnacentral:lncRNA from 1 species
AAGCUCAGCGAUCGAGGUGUGGGCCGCGCAGCGCGGAAUGGAAGCGCGGGGAGUGCUCGGCGGAGGCCCGGGGUGCAGCGGGAUCGCCGGCUGAGGCCCGGGGAGGUUUAUUCACCCCGAGUCCAGGCCAGAGGCCUUCUCAGCAGGAAGGAGCUGGAGACCUCUAUCUGGCCACGUAGGGUAACCAAAUGGCAAACUGGAGGAUUCAAAAAAGGAGGAAAUAUCUGCGGUUGGCACACAGACAGGAAAAAGCACACUUUGCUAAACCUGCUGUGACUUGGGGUGGCAUUUCAGGAGGGCAGCUUACAAUGUGAACUACAUCCUCCCGUGACUCUGUUUCUAGGGUUUCACUCUAAGGACACGGUGGAAGAUUUGUUCAACUUUCUGGCUUUCAGGUCAGUCACACCAGCAUUG